UUGUCUCAAAGAUUAAGCCAUGCAUGUCUCAGUACAAGCCAAAUUAAGGUGAAACCGCGAAAGGCUCAUUAAAUCAGUUAUGGUUCCUUAGAUCGUACCCACAUUUACUUGGAUAACUGUGGUAAUUCUAGAGCUAAUACAUGCAAACAGAGCUCUGACCGGAGACGGAAAGAGUGCUUUUAUUAGAUCAAAACCAAUCGGCGGCGGUGUUUCGGCAUCGUUUGUCGUCCUAUUUGGUGACUCUGAAUAACUUUAUGCUGAUCGCAUGGUCUCGUACCGGCGAUGCAUCUUUCAAAUGUCUGCCUUAUCAACUGUCGAUGGUAGGUUCUGCGCCUACCAUGGUUGUAACGGGUAACGGGGAAUCAGGGUUCGAUUCCGGAGAGGGAGCCUGAGAAACGGCUACCACAUCCAAGGAAGGCAGCAGGCGCGCAAAUUACCCACUCCCGGCACGGGGAGGUAGUGACGAAAAAUAACGAUACGGGACUCAUCCGAGGCCCCGUAAUCGGAAUGAGUACACUUUAAAUCCUUUAACGAGGAUCAAUUGGAGGGCAAGUCUGGUGCCAGCAGCCGCGGUAAUUCCAGCUCCAAUAGCGUAUAUUAAAGUUGUUGCGGUUAAAAAGCUCGUAGUUGAAUCUGUGUCCCACGCUGUCGGUUCACCGCCCGCGGUGUUAACUGGCACGUUUCGUGGGACGUCCUGCCGGUGGAUGGGGUUGCGUAUGUAUUAUGUGUUCUAUUGUUAUUUAUAACAUAGUUUCAUGUAUGCAUGCGUCCCAUCCGACUUUUAUAAGAUUCCUGUCACGGUGCUCUUAAUUGAGUGUCGAGAUAGGCCGGCACGUUUACUUUGAACAAAUUAGAGUGCUCAAAGCAGGCUAAAUUUAACGCCUGAAUAUUGUGUGCAUGGAAUAAUAGAACAGGACCUCGGUUCUAUUUUGUUGGUUUUCGGAACCCCGAGGUAAUGAUUAAUAGGGACAGAUGGGGGCAUUCGUAUUGCGACGUUAGAGGUGAAAUUCUUGGAUCGUCGCAAGACGGACAGAAGCGAAAGCAUUUGCCAAAGAUGUUUUCAUUAAUCAAGAACGAAAGUCAGAGGUUCGAAGGCGAUCAGAUACCGCCCUAGUUCUGACCAUAAACGAUGCCAGCUAGCGAUCCGCCGACGUUCCUCCGAUGACUCGGCGGGCAGCUUCCGGGAAACCAAAGCUUUUGGGUUCCGGGGGAAGUAUGGUUGCAAAGCUGAAACUUAAAGGAAUUGACGGAAGGGCACCACCAGGAGUGGAGCCUGCGGCUUAAUUUGACUCAACACGGGAAACCUCACCAGGCCCGGACACCGGAAGGAUUGACAGAUUGAGAGCUCUUUCUUGAUUCGGUGGGUGGUGGUGCAUGGCCGUUCUUAGUUGGUGGAGCGAUUUGUCUGGUUAAUUCCGAUAACGAACGAGACUCUAGCCUGCUAAAUAGGCGUAACUUUCCGGUAUCUCGAAGGCUCACAUCUUUCGGUAUGCCGUGUAUGCGUGUCGCUUGAACACAUUCAUCUUCGGGUGGAUGAUGGGCAUCGGCCGUAUGCCGGUCGGAAGUUUGUGUGGUUUUUACUACCGGCGUACAAUUAAUUCUUCUUAGAGGGACAGGCGGCUUUCAGCCGCACGAGAUUGAGCAAUAACAGGUCUGUGAUGCCCUUAGAUGUUCUGGGCCGCACGCGCGCUACACUGAAGGAAUCAACGUGUCUUCCCUGGCCGAAUGGUCCGGGUAACCCGCUGAACCUCCUUCGUGCUAGGGAUUGGGGCUUGCAAUUGUUCCCCAUGAACGAGGAAUUCCCAGUAAGUGCGAGUCAUAAGCUCGCGUUGAUUACGUCCCUGCCCUUUGUACACACCGCCCGUCGCUACUACCGAUUGAAUGAUUUAGUGAGGUCUUCGGACUGGUACGCGGCGGUAGUUUCGAUUAUUGCCGAUGUAGCUGGGAAGAUGACCAAAGUUGAU
rnacentral:rRNA from 1 species